rnacentral:lncRNA from 1 species
GUCUCGGGGGUGAUAGUCUUCCGCCAAUCCUUCCAAAGUAGAGGGACCGUCUUCUUGGGGUAUUCGGGGGGGCCGUCUUGUCCGAGGGGAGCGGGGGCGAGAACGGCCGCCUCUCCGGCAGGGAAAGGUCCGGGGCAAGGAGGAGAGAAGAGGCGCCGCUCCCAGGUUUGAAAAUCUGGACAGCUGCCUCUGCACGCAGAGGUGCAGGAAUACCUGGCCCAAGCAGUUACGGUCCGAUCUGAAUGCGUGUGAAACAGGCCAAGCCUCACCUGUGAUGCGUCCUUCAUUCCCAGGCUGGCAAUUCUCUCUCUCUCCAACACUGCGUUUUCCUCUAGGUUCACAGUUACCUUCACAGGCUUAUGUGAAGGAUGCUUCUUAUCAGGGUGUUCCCAGAGACAGCAACUUUGAUUUCUGCAAGGAGAAAUAAAUCAGCACGCACAAUAUUUCCAAGGAGGUGGUUUUAUUAUGAGCUUGGAGGUACACAGGUACCCUGUGUGAUGUAAUGGAUAGAGUGAUGGAGUAGGAUUCUGGAGACCACGGUUUGAAUCCAUCUUUAGCCAUGAAAACUCAUUGAGGGUGUGUAGAACUUGUGAAACCACUCCUUAAAUAUCUCUGAUCUUAAAAGCCGUCUUAGGCUUGCUAUUAGUUGGUUCCAACUUGAUGACAGACUUAACUAACUUGUUUUAUUAUAGGGAGACGAAGGAGAAUAAGAACCUGGAUUUGAACUUGAACUUGAUGCACAGCCUUGAAGAAGAUGAUUUAUCAUCGAAAGCUCGCUGUUUGUUUUUUGUUUUAAUGGUCAAUUAAAAGUAUCACCUGUUCCUGAAUUUGUAUUGUUUCCAUGAUCAUGUGGCCUUUUCCUGAUUUUUUUCCCUUCAGGUUGGGAAAGGUAAAUCAGACAAUAACAAUUUCAAAUUUGCUAUAACUGGUCAGAACAAUUAAAAUAAUGACAUGCCAUCAAAUCAAUUGUGACUUAUUGGUGACCCUUUCCAGGGAUUUCUAGGUACAUACUGUGAUUGUUCACAAUUUCUGCCAUUGGAGGGCAUCGCAGGACUGUGCAUCUUACCCAAAGUG